ACUCCUACGGGAGGCAGCAGUGGGGAAUUUUGCGCAAUGGGGGAAACCCUGACGCAGCAACGCCGCGUGAGUGAUGAAGGCUUUCGGGUCGUAAAGCUCUGUCAGAGGGGAAGAAACUCUUGUGGUCGAACAGGCCACAGGA
rnacentral:rRNA from 1 species